CGCCUCGGGCGUGCGCGAUUUGUUACCGGAUUGCGGGCCACGUAAAACAUUCCCGCUAAAGAGGUCAGGAUGUGAAGGAC
rnacentral:ncRNA from 2 species